UACGGAGGGGGCUAGCGUUAUUCGGAAUUAUUGGGCGUAAAGGGCGUGUAGGCGGCUUCGUAAGUCUUGUGUGAAAGCCCUCGGCUCAACCGAGGAAUUGCACGAGAAACUGCGUGGCUCGAGUCCGGGAGAGGAUAGUGGAAUUCCCAGUGUAGCGGUGAAAUGCGUAGAUAUUGGGAGGAACACCAGUGGCGAAGGCGGCUCACUGGACCGGAACUGACGCUGAGGCGCGAAAGCGUGGGGAGCAAACGGG
rnacentral:rRNA from 1 species